rnacentral:rRNA from 1 species
GAUGAACGCUGGCGGCGUGCUUAACACAUGCAAGUCGAACGAUGAAGCCCAGCUUGCUGGGUGGAUUAGUGGCGAACGGGUGAGUAACACGUGAGUAACCUGCCCUUGACUCUGGGAUAAGCCAGGGAAACUGGGUCUAAUACCGGAUAGGAGCGCCUGUCGCAUGACGGGUGUUGGAAAGAUUUUUCGGUCAUGGAUGGACUCGCGGCCUAUCAGCUUGUUGGUGAGGUAAUGGCUCACCAAGGCGACGACGGGUAGCCGGCCUGAGAGGGUGACCGGCCACACUGGGACUGAGACACGGCCCAGACUCCUACGGGAGGCAGCAGUGGGGAAUAUUGCACAAUGGGCGGAAGCCUGAUGCAGCGACGCCGCGUGAGGGAUGACGGCCUUCGGGUUGUAAACCUCUUUCAGUAGGGAAGAAGCGAAAGUGACGGUACCUGCAGAAGAAGCACCGGCUAACUACGUG